GACGUAGGGGGCGAGCGUUGUCCGAAUUCAAUGGACGUAAAGAGCGCGUAGGCGGACUUUUAAGUUGGGGGUGAAAUGCCGAGGCUCAACCUCGUAACUGCCUCCAAAACUGGGAGUCUUGAGGUAUGGAGAGGGAAGUGGAAUUCCAGGUGUAGCGGUGAUAUGCGUAGAUAUCUGGAGGAACACCCGUGGCGAAGGCGGCUUCCUGGUCAUAUCCUGACGCUGAGGUGCGUAAGCCAGGGGAGCGAACGGG
rnacentral:rRNA from 1 species